UACCUGGUUGAUCCUGUCAGUAGUCAUAUGCUUGUCUCAAAGAUUAAGCCAUGCAAGUCUAAGUACGAGCUCUCGUACAGUGAAACUGCGAAUGGCUCAUUAAAUCAGUUAUGGUUCAUUUGAUCGUACAGUUUACUUGGAUAACUGUGGUAAUUCUAGAGCUAAUACAUGCGAGAAGCGCCGACCUCGCGGGAGGCGUGCAUUUAUCAGACCAAAAACCGGCCGCGUCUUCGGGCGCGUUCGCCUUGGUGACUCUGGAUAACUUUGCGGAUCGCACGGUCUAGCACCGGCGACGGAUCAUUCAAGUGUCUGCCCUAUCAACUUUCGUCGGUACGGUAUUUGCCUACCGAGGUUCUUACGGGUGACGGGGAAUCAGGGUUCGAUUCCGGAGAGGGAGCCUGAGAAACGGCUACCACAUCCAAGGAAGGCAGCAGGCGCGCAAAUUACCCAUUCCCGACGCGGGGAGGUAGUGACGAAAAAUAACAAUGCAGGACUCGUUCGAGGCCCUGUAAUUGGAAUGAGUACACUUUAAAAGCUUUAACGAGUAUCCAUUGGAGGGCAAGUCUGGUGCCAGCAGCCGCGGUAAUUCCAGCUCCAAAAGUAUAUAUUUAAGUUGUUGCGGUUAAA
rnacentral:ncRNA from 1 species